CAGUAGCCGCGGGAAUACGGAGGGUGCAAGCGUUAAUCGGAAUUACUGGGCGUAAAGCGUGCGUAGGCGGUUCGUUAAGUCUGUUGUGAAAGCCCCGGGCUCAACCUGGGAAUGGCAAUGGAUACUGGCGAGCUAGAGUGUGUCAGAGGAUGGUGGAAUUCCCGGUGUAGCGGUGAAAUGCGUAGAGAUCGGGAGGAACAUCAGUGGCGAAGGCGGCCAUCUGGGACAACACUGACGCUGAGGCACGAAAGCGUGGGGAGCAAACAGGAUUAGAGACCCCCGUAGUCCCUGUCUCUUAUAC
rnacentral:rRNA from 1 species